AUUGAACGCUAACGGCGUGCUUAACACAUGCAAGUCGAGCGGCAGCAUGAUCUGUAGCAAUACAGAUUGAUGGCGAGCGGCGGACGGGUGAGUAACAUAUAGGAAUCUGCCUUGUAGCGGGGGAUAACCCGGGGAAACUCGGGCUAAUACCGCAUAAUCUCUACGGAGCAAAGUGGGGGACCGUAAGGCAUCACGCUAAAAGAUGAGCCUAUAUUGGAUUAGCUAGUUGGUGAGGUAAUGGCUCACCAAGGCGACGAUCCAUAGCUGGUCUGAGAGGAUGAUCAGCCACACUGGGACUGAGACACGGCCCAGACUCCUACGGGAGGCAGCAGUGGGGAAUAUUGGACAAUGGGCGCAAGCCUGAUCCAGCAACGCCGUGUGUGUGAAGAAGGCCUUCGGGUUGUAAAGCACUUUUAGUUGGGAAGAAAAGCUUAUGGUUAAUAACCAUGAGUGAUGACGUUACCAACAGAAAAAGCACUGGCUAACUCUGUGCCAGCCGCCGCCGUAAAAC
rnacentral:rRNA from 1 species